rnacentral:lncRNA from 1 species
GGCGGAAGCAGGUUCCGUGCGGGCCCUACAGCAGCAUCCAAGCCCCUGUCCUCUCGGCACCUGAGUUCUUGUUUGGCAUCCAGGAAGAAUUAGGUCACCCACACGGAUUGAAAGGCCCCCAGAUGAGACAGGAUUGUUCCCUUCAUCUUAACCCCCUUCGUGGGCGGGAACUGGAGCAGCUCAUUUCACUCAGCUCGCCUCCUGCCACUCCUGGCGGCAGAGCGUGCGAGUGCGGGAACCGGAGCGACCGAAUGCUGGAACCGGCCGGUCACUCCUCUCUGGCGGGAAUAGGCUCUGUGCGGGCCUCACAGCAGCGUCCAAGCCCUGGCCUCUCGGCACCGGGGUACCUGUCCGGCGUCCAGGAAGAAUUAGGUCAUAUGAACGGAUUGAAGAGUAGUGUAUGCGGAAGAUUUGAUUGAGUGGUGGCUCCUGGUGGGAUGGGUACUGGAAAGCAGACGGUGAAAGAGGGUCAUCUUUCCCUGAAGCCGCACCAUCUGAAGUUAGCUGCGUCUAUCUGUAGUCUUCAACACUCUUGCUGCUUCUCUGCUCACCGCUCAGCCGCUUGUGUUGCUCUGCCAGCUGAAGUCUUUUUUAUGGCCACAGGAUAGGGGCGUGGCAGGCCAAAAAAACAACAUUUGGGCAGAAAAACAGGGUCAGCUGUUUUCAAGGCCGUGAUUCCAGGCUUAAGGGUGGGGUUUAGCUGGGAACCCAGCCAUUCUGUAUCAGUGAUAGUUGCACAACUAUAAAUAUACUAACAACCAUUGAAUUGUGUACUUUAAGUAGAUUAACCGUAUGAUAUAUGAAUUACAUCUCAGUAAAGUUGUUUUUUAAAAAAUAUGCAUAUACCUUAGUCUAGCCGUUCCAGGUCAUAUACUACAGCGAUAGUAACAAAGAUAUAAUAUGUGGUUUAUAAUAAUAAAUAUUGGAAAUACUUAAUCUUGCAAAUGCAUGAUCAGUAAGGUAGUGGAGGCAAAAACUAGGUUUCCCAGGAGCUUCAGGCUUCUCAACUUCCAAGUAGUAAUCUCAAGGAAGUACGUACUCUGACUGAAACUGUUUAUGUCACAGACCUACUCCUUAGACCAAUCACUGUUCCCAUAGAGAUAGCUCAUUAUGAUUUGUGGAGUCAGAAUCAUGUGCCCACUGCUGAAAUCAGGAAUUCAGGGUCCUGGGAGAGUCACCCGUGCCACCCACCUAAUGUUUUCUGGAAGUUUGACUUUAAAAGGAAGAAGACAGCAAGAGAUCAAUAUAGCUAGAGUGUGGAGAUGAGGUGUUUUCUUUAAAAUAGAGGUGACUUGAACACGUUUAAAUGCUUGUGCAAAGUAGCCAAUAUAGAGGGAGCAGUUAAAGACACAAAAGAAAUAGAAUAUUUCUAAUCAAUAGAUCUCAGGAAAUUAUUAUUUCCCACUAUCCCUCAGAAAAUUAUAUUCAAUAAAGGAAUUUGUUUCUGGCUCCUUGGAGGAUUAACUUUCCUUUUCAUGCUUAGGCAAUACAAAGUUGAAUCACCACUUUAAACCACA